UACGGAGGGUGCGAGCGUUGUCCGGAAUCACUGGGCGUAAAGGGCGCGUAGGCGGCUGGGGAAGUCGGCGGUGAAAGCCCGGAGCUCAACUCCGGGUCGGCCGUCGAGACUCCUCGGCUCGAGCUCACUAGAGGCAGAUGGAAUUCCGGGUGUAGCGGUGGAAUGCGUAGAGAUCCGGAAGAACACCGGUGGCGAAGGCGGCCUGCUGGGGUGAGGCUGACGCUGAUGCGCGACAGCGUGGGGAGCAAACAGG
rnacentral:rRNA from 1 species